GAGGUUGUACUGUUAUUCGUGUUCUACCUUCUGACGAGCCGUUAAUGCUCUUUGGGCGUUUUCGGGGAGUCAGGACUGUUACCGUGAAAAAAUUAGAGUGUUUAAAGCAGGCUUUUAUGUUUGAAUAUAUUAGCAUGGAAUAACGAAAUAGGACGAUGGUUCUAUUUUGUUGGUUUUAGAACUGUCGUAAUGAUUAAUAGGGACAGUUGGGGGCAUUAGUAUUCAAUUGUCAGAGGUGAAAUUCUUGGAUUAAUUGAAGACUAACUUCUGCGAAAGCAUUUGCCAAGGAUGUUUUCAUUAAUCAAGAACGAAAGUUAAGGUAUCGAAGACGAUCAGAUAACGUCGUAGUCUUAACCAUAAAUUAUGCCGACUAGGGAUCGGGCGACGUUGUGUUUCGGUAUGACUCGCUCGGCCCCUUG
rnacentral:rRNA from 1 species